rnacentral:rRNA from 1 species
GAUCAUGGCUCAGAGCGAACGCUGGCGGCAGGCCUAACACAUGCAAGUCGAACGGAUCCUUCGGGAUUAGUGGCGGACGGGUGAGUAACACGUGGGAACGUGCCCUUUGGUUCGGAACAACUCAGGGAAACUUGAGCUAAUACCGGAUGUGCCCUUCGGGGAAAGAUUUAUCGCCAUUGGAGCGGCCCGCGUCUGAUUAGCUAGUUGGUGGGGUAAAGGCCCACCAAGGCGACGAUCAGUAGCUGGU